GGGCCCGCACAAGCGGUGGAGUAUGUGGUUUAAUUCGAUGCAACGCGAAGAACCUUACCAGGGUUUGACAUCCUGCGAAUUUCUGGGAAACCGGAAAGUGCCUUCGGGAGCGCAGUGACAGGUGGUGCAUGGCUGUCGUCAGCUCGUGUCGUGAGAUGUUGGGUUAAGUCCCGCAACGAGCGCAACCCACGUCUUUAGUUGCCAGCAUUUAGUUGGGCACUCUAGAGAGACCGCCGGUGAUAAACCGGAGAAGGUGUGGAUGACGUCAAGUCAUCAUGCCCCUUACAUCUGGGCUACACACGUACUACAAUGCUACGGACAAAGGGCAGCAAACUCGCGAGAGCUAGCAAAUCCCAUAAACGUGGCUC
rnacentral:rRNA from 1 species